AAACAUAUUCGAUAGCAGAGAAAAGGUAGAAGAUGAUGAUGAGGGAUGACGAUGAAGAAGAAGAUCAGCUGCAUCAGACGGCAGUCUUGGAACAAGUCUUCGGGCACUUCUCAUCCGACGACGAAGAAGAAGCUGAUAAUCAUCACAUCGCGGCAGUAUUGGAACAAGUCUUCGGAAAUUCAUCCUCCGACGAAGAAGAUUCCGAUUCCGAUAACAAGAAUUGGGAAUGCAUCAAAGAAGUAAAAGGAUUAUGUAUACUAAGAAAUUUCCUAUCAAUCUCUCAACAAACCCGUUUACUCUCAUCAAUCAAUUCAGAGAAUUGGUUCACACAACCAUCAAUUAACCAAGCUAUGCGAUUCGGUUAUCAAAAUCUUCCUAAUUGGGCAAUCAAACUCUCUAAUUCAAUCCACCAUUCCAUUUCAUCAUCUUCUUCUUCGCUUUUCCCAUCGAAUCUGUUACAGAGAAAACCGUUUUUCGAUCAAAUGAUAACGAAUUUCUACCAGCCUGGUGAAGGUAUUUGUCCUCAUGUUGAUUUGUUAAGGUUUGAAGAUGGAAUUGCUAUUGUUUCAUUGGAAUCGAGUUGUGUUAUGGAUUUUAGUUUUGAAGAGGAAAGUGUUCCUGUAUUGCUUAAUCCUGGUUCGUUGGUUUUUAUGUUUGGUGAUGCUAGGUAUGUUUGGAAACAUGAGAUUAAUAGGAAACCUGGGUUUCAAUCAUGGCAGGGACAAUUGUUGGAUCAAAGUACAAGAACCUCUGUUACACUUAGGAAACUAUGUUCUUCUCCAUCCACCUAAAUGGAUAUCAACCUAUGAAGCACAAACGCAGACAUUGAUAUUGGAUCGAACACAAACAGUGUGAUACUAAUAAUAAUUUGAGAAAAUGAUAUGACAUAUGUGAUCGAACACAAACAGUGUGAUACUAAUAAUAAUUUGAGAAAAUGAUAUGACAUAUGUGUUGGUUGUGUCGUGUGUCCGACACGGGACAGGGUUAACUCGAGGAGUGUCUGAGCAUCAUAGAUAUCAACAUUGUCAUUUCGCUUCGUCUUUGGAGGAAAAAUCUCAAACUAGUCUUUUAGGUCAUCCAAAAUAUCAAAUUUCAAUCAAAUUAGUUUUUUUUUUAGAUGGAAAAAUCAGUCUUUGUACUGUAGAAUGUGUAGUUUUGAAGUUUUUAUGCUGUGGAGAUGUAUGAUUCUGAAAUUAUGUGUGAUCUUUAGGAUGAACUAUUUUGACCAAAUGGCUACCUAGGAAAUGGAUUUUCUACAGCUCUAAACCGUGUGAAAUUUAUUGUGUAAUCUAAAUUUAUUGUGUAAUCUAGACAAUCUGAUCUAAAAUCAAUGGCAGAGAUUCAUACUUGAC
rnacentral:lncRNA from 1 species